GACGAACGCUGGCGGCGUGCUUAACACAUGCAAGUCGAACGGAAAGGCCCUGCUUUUGUGGGGUGCUCGAGUGGCGAACGGGUGAGUAACACGUGAGUAACCUGCCCUUGACUUUGGGAUAACUUCAGGAAACUGGGGCUAAUACCGGAUAGGAGCUCCUGCUGCAUGGUGGGGGUUGGAAAGUUUCGGCGGUUGGGGAUGGACUCGCGGCUUAUCAGCUUGUUGGUGGGGUAGUGGCUUACCAAGGCUUUGACGGGUAGCCGGCCUGAGAGGGUGACCGGCCACAUUGGGACUGAGAUACGGCCCAGACUCCUACGGGAGGCAGCAGUGGGGAAUAUUGCACAAUGGGCGGAAGCCUGAUGCAGCAACGCCGCGUGCGGGAUGACGGCCUUCGGGUUGUAAACCGCUUUCGCCUGUGACGAAGCGUGAGUGACGGUAAUGGGUAAAGAAGCACCGGCUAACUACGUGCCAGCAGCCGCGGUGAUACGUAGGGUGCGAGCGUUGUCCGGAUUUAUUGGGCGUAAAGGGCUCGUAGGUGGUUGAUCGCGUCGGAAGUGUAAUCUUGGGGCUUAACCCUGAGCGUGCUUUCGAUACGGGUUGACUUGAGGAAGGUAGGGGAGAAUGGAAUUCCUGGUGGAGCGGUGGAAUGCGCAGAUAUCAGGAGGAACACCAGUGGCGAAGGCGGUUCUCUGGGCCUUUCCUGACGCUGAGGAGCGAAAGCGUGGGGAGCGAACAGGCUUAGAUACCCUGGCAGUCCACGCUGUAAACGGUGGGUACUAGGUGUGGGGUCCAUUCCACGGGUUCCGUGCCGUAGCUAACGCUUUAAGUACCCCGCCUGGGGAGUACGGCCGCAAGGCUAAUACUCAAAGGAAUUGACGGGGCCCCGCACAAGCGGCGGAGCAUGCGGAUUAAUUCGAUGCAACGCGUAGAACCUUACCUGGGUUUGACAUGGAUCGGGAGUGCUCAGAGAUGGGUGUGCCUCUUUUGGGGUCGGUUCACAGGUGGUGCAUGGCUGUCGUCAGCUCGUGUCGUGAGAUGUUGGGUUAAGUCCCGCAACGAGCGCAACCCUUGUUCACUGUUGCCAGCACGUUAUGGUGGGGACUCAGUGGAGACCGCCGGGGUCAACUCGGAGGAAGGUGGGGAUGACGUCAAGUCAUCAUGCCCCUUAUGUCCAGGGCUUCACGCAUGCUACAAUGGCUGGUACAGAGAGUGGCGAGCCUGUGAGGGUGAGCGAAUCUCGGAAAGCCGGUCUCAGUUCGGAUUGGGGUCUGCAACUCGACCUCAUGAAGUCGGAGUCGCUAGUAAUCGCAGAUCAGCAACGCUGCGGUGAAUACGUUCCCGGG
rnacentral:rRNA from 1 species